UCUCAGUAUCAAACUCCAUCACGAAAC
rnacentral:sRNA from 1 species